UGGGGAAUUUUGGACAAUGGGGGAAACCCUGAUCCAGCCAUCCCGCGUGUGCGAUGAAGGCCUUCGGGUUGUAAAGCACUUUUGGCAGGAAAGAAACGUCGUGGGUUAAUACCCCGCGAAACUGACGGUACCUGCAGAAUAAGCACCGGCUAACUACGUGCCAGCAGCCGCGGUAAUACGUAGGGUGCAGGCGUUAAUCGGAAUUACUGGGCGUAAAGCGUGCGCAGGCGGUUCGGAAAGAAAGAUGUGAAAUCCCAGAGCUUAACUUUGGAACUGCAUUUUUAACUACCGGGCUAGAGUGUGUCAGAGGGAGGUGGAAUUCCGCGUGUAGCAGUGAAAUGCGUAGAUAUGCGGAGGAACACCGAUGGCGAAGGCAGCCUCCUGGGAUAACACUGACGCUCAUGCACGAAAGCGUGGGGAGCAAACAGGAUUAGAUACCCUGGUAGUCUACGCCCUAAACGAUGUCAACUAGCUGUUGGGGUCUUCGGACCUUGGUAGCGCAGCUAACGCGUGAAGUUGACCGCCUGGGGAGUACGGUCGCAAGA
rnacentral:rRNA from 1 species